rnacentral:rRNA from 1 species
GGAGUUAGGUUAUGUAGGUGCGCUAAUAUCGUGCCUAUUUGACAAAGGCUCCUAAGGAAGCCACGGCUAACUCUGUGCCAGCAGCCGCGGUAAUACAGAGGUGGCAAGCGUUGUUCGGUAUUAUUGGGCGUAUAGAGCACGUAGGUGGAUUUGUAAGUCAGAUGUGAAAGCCUUCUGUUCAACGGGAGAAUUGCAUCUGAAACUACAAACCUUGAGUAUAGGAGGGGAGAAGUGG